AGCAGCCGCGGUAAUUCCAGCUCCAAUAGCGUAUAUUAAAGUUGUUGCAGUUAAAAAAGCUCGUAGUUGAAUUUCGGGAUUAGUACGCUGGUCGUGCCUUUGGUAUGUACUGGUGUUACUGAUUCCUACCUUCUGACGAACUGUCAUGUCAUUAAUUUGGUGUGGCGGGGAAUCAGGACUGUUACUUUGAAAAAUUGAGUGUUUAAAGCAGGCUCGCGCUUGAAUACAUUAGCAUGGAAUAAUGAAAUAGGACGUUCGAUCCUAUUUUGUUGGUUUCUAGGAUUGACGUAAUGAUUAAUAGGGAUAGUUGGGGGCAUUAGUAUUCAAUUGUCAGAGGUGAAAUUCUUGGAUUUAUUGAAGACUAACUACUGCGAAAGCAUUUGCCAAGGAUGUUUUCAUUAAUCAAGAACG
rnacentral:rRNA from 1 species